UACGAGGGGGGCAAGCGUUGUUCGGAAUUAUUGGGCGUAAAGAGCUCGUAGGCGGCUUGUCACGUCGGGUGUGAAAGCCCGGGGCUUAACCCCGGGUCUGCAUUCGAUACGGGCUAGCUAGAGUGUGGUAGGGGAGAUCGGAAUUCCUGGUGUAGCGGUGAAAUGCGCAGAUAUCAGGAGGAACACCGGUGGCGAAGGCGGAUCUCUGGGCCAUUACUGACGCUGAGGAGCGAAAGCGUGGGGAGCGAACAGG
rnacentral:rRNA from 1 species